rnacentral:lncRNA from 1 species
GUGACCUGGAAAGUAUUCAGGGAGAAUGGUGGAACCAUUGUGAUUUCUUCAAAAGUAUGUUUGAGUCUCCAUUCUUAUUAUUUGGAAAACUGCUUUAUGUACUUCAGCAUUUAAAGCACUGGAAUCCUUGGUCCUGGGUUGAAUAUGGAAACUCUGAAAAAUAAUGGCUUCUUGUAUGGACAAUGUCAGUGGAGACUGAGUAUAGAAUCCAGGUAGAGUCAGGACCCAUCGUUUGAACUACCAGAGCAGAAGCUAAGGAAAGGGACUCUGGUAGCCCAGAGGAGUGUCUCCAACAGGUUUUUCUGUUGGUAAGGGAAACACCUCCAGGAGCAAUCUCUGAACUCAUUCUGCUUUCCCCAGACUUAUCUACUUUUGAAGAUGCUGUUGAUGAGGCCCUGUACCAGGAGAUAGAUUACCUCAUGAAUCCAGAGAACGAGGACCUGCAGGACAGCCCAGGUGUGUUCCCUACCCUCCUUUCUGUUCACGAGUUGGUCAUGGAUAUGGCAGUCUUCAGGGAGCACAGACCCCAUCACUACCCAACCUAUAUGGCCAUCCUCCUCCUAAGGCAGGAGCUCCAAGCCCUCUUUCUACAAACCUAAAGCUUCCAUAUUUCUUCCGAACCAUGACAUGUGUGUUUGCCUGUGAUGUUUUUCUCCCUACCAGGAAAUCUGUCUGAUGACUCAGUGACUAAGUUGUCAUAUUACACAGGGCACCAUGAGGAGAAUGGAGACCCUGAAUCUGCCCCAGGUAGUAGAGACAGGUGUUCCCUUGAAUGGUGGGGUGAGGAGGAG